rnacentral:rRNA from 1 species
CAUACUGCGGUGAAUACGUUCCCGGGGUCUUGUACACACCGCCCGUCAAACCAUCGAAAGUCGACCAACACCCGAAGUCCUUACUUGUUAAGGCCUAAGGUGGGGGGAUAAGUUGGGUU